rnacentral:rRNA from 1 species
AACGAACGCUGGCGGCAGGCCUAACACAUGCAAGUCGAACGGGCGUAGCAAUACGUUAGUGGCGCACGGGAGAGUAACGCGUGGGAAUCUACCUUUUGGUUCGGGAUAACGUCGGGAAACUGACGCUAAUACCGGAUAAGCCCUACGGGGGAAAGUUUUUUCGCCAUUAGAUGAGCCCGCGUUAGAUUAGCUAGUUGGUGAGGUAAUGGCUCACCAAGGCUACGAUCUAUAGCUGGUCUGAGAGGAUGACCAGCCUCACUGGGACUGAGACACGGCCCAGACUCCUACGGGAGGCAGCAGUGGGGAAUAUUGGACAAUGGGGGAAACCCUGAUCCAGCCAUGCCGCGUGAAUGAUGAAGGCCUUCGGGUUGUAAAGUUCUUUUGGUGGGGACGAUAAUGACGGUACCCACAGAAUAAGCUCCGGCUAACUUCGUGCCAGCCGCCGCCGUAA